rnacentral:misc_RNA from 1 species
AUCGACGCAGAGCAGCCUAUGUGGUAAUGCGCGAAUGCGUCUGUAUCGCCAAGGGAGGAGCUGAGACACUGAAAUUGAAUAUGGCUUUAAUAUUACUACCAGUCUGCAGAAACACCAUCACCUGGCUCAGGAAUAAGACCAAGUUGGGUGUUGUGGUUCCUUUUGAUGACAACCUCAAUUUCCACAAGGUGAUAGCAGUUGGGAUUACAAUUGGAGUUGGUCUGCAUGGAAUUUCUCAUUUAACCUGUGACUUCCCGCGGCUUCUUCAAGCAAAUGAAGAGAAAUGGAAGCUUAUGCAGCCAUUUUUUGGGGAUCAACCUUCAAGCUACUGGCAUUUUGUGAAGGAAGUGGAGGGAGUGACUGGGAUCAUAAUGGUGAUAUUGAUGGCAAUAGCCUUUACACUAGCUACCCCCUGGUUCAGGCGUAACAGGCUCAAUUUGCCCCCUUUCCUCAAGAAGCUCACUGGCUUCAAUGCCUUUUGGUACUCUCACCAUCUCUUCAUCAUUGUCUACGCCCUGCUCAUUGUGCAUGGUCAUUACCUCUACUUGACUGAUAAAUGGUACAAGAAAACGACCUGGAUGUAUUUGGCUAUUCCUAUAAUCCUUUAUGCCAGUGAAAGAUUGACUAGGGCACUAAGAUCCAGCAUCAAGCCUGUUACCAUCAAAAAGGUGGCUAUUUAUCCUGGAAAUGUGUUGGCACUUCACAUGUCAAAGCCUCAGGGAUUUAGAUACAAGAGUGGGCAAUACAUGUUUGUUAACUGUGCUGCUGUCUCUCCA